rnacentral:rRNA from 1 species
GAUGAACGCUGGCGGCGUGCCUAAUACAUGCAAGUCGAGCGAACCACUUCGGUGGUGAGCGGCGAACGGGUGAGUAACACGUAGGUGAUCUGCCCAUCAGACGGGGACAACGAUUGGAAACGAUCGCUAAUACCGGAUAGGACGAAAGUUUAAAGGUGCUUCUGGCACCGCUGAUGGAUGAGCCUGCGGCGCAUUAGCUAGUUGGUAGGGUAAAGGCCUACCAAGGCGACGAUGCGUAGCCGACCUGAGAGGGUGAACGGCCACACUUGGACUGGGAAACAGCCCAGAAUCAUACGGGAGGCAGAAGUAGGGAAUCGUCGGCAAUGGGCGAAAGCCUGACCGAGCAACGCCGCGUGAAUGAUGAAGGCCUUCGGGUUGUAAAAUUCUGUUAUAAGGGAAGAACGACUUUAGUAGGAAAUGGCUAGAGUGUGACGGUACCUUAUGAGAAAGCCACGGCUAACUACGUGCCAGCAGCCGCCGUAA